rnacentral:rRNA from 1 species
UAAGUUAAACGGCCGCGGUAUCCUGACCGUGCAAAGGUAGCAUAAUCAUUUGUUCCUUAAUUAGGGACUAGUAUGAAUGGCUAGACGAGGGUUCAACUGUCUCUUAUUCUCAAUCAGUGAAAUUGACCUUCCAGUGAAGAGGCUGGAAUAACAUAAUAAGACGAGAAGACCCUAUGGAGCUUAAAUUAAUUAGCCUAAUUAUUAAAACAAACAACCUAAUGGAACAACAAACAAAAAAAAAUAAGCUAAUAAUUUCGGUUGGGGUGACCUCGGAGAAUAAAAAAACCUCCGAAUGAUUAUAGCAUAGAUUAACAAAUCAAAGCAACUUACCAAAUCUUAUUGACCCAAAAAUCUUGAUCAACGAACCAAGUUACCCUAGGGAUAACAGCGCAAUCCUAUUUAAGAGUUCAUAUCGACAAUUAGGGUUUACGACCUCGAUGUUGGAUCAGGACAUCCCAA